CAUCCCAGUUUGCUCAGGACUGUCUUGGUUUUAGUACUGAAAGUGCCACACCCCCAGGAAACUCAUUAGUCUCAGGCAAACCCAGGACAGUUGGUCACCCCACUGUCAGUGGUUGUCCAAUGUUCUGUGUUCAGUGGAGAGGCUGUAGGGGCUGCUGGUCAGUUGGGAGAGGCAGGAGGCAAAAGAGAGUCUAAGUAGGUGGGGCUUCAAGCCCCCAGCCCCAGCUUCCAGAGGGGAAGUAGAUCCAGCUCCAGACUGACCUGGGGUAGCAGGGGCCAUUUUGCAGCCCGGUUGGACAGGAGAGGCAUACUGGGGCCAGGAAGGACAUACUGGACAGGAAGGGCAUACUGGACAGGAAGGGCAUACUGGGGCCAGGUAUGCGCUGGAGCUCAUGCACCGCCAGGUCAACUGAGGCCACAGGUGUGGUUCCAGAACAUUUCCUCCAGCAAAGACAAGGGCCCACAUGUGAGUCUAGUCCUGGCACAACCCCAGAUGUGAUUUCUGAAUCCCCGCCUGUGAACCUGGUAGGUCGCAGGUAUAGUUUGUGGAUCAAUCCCUCUUUUCCUACUGAAGCCCCAGGCGAAAGUCUAGACUAGUGAGUUGUUCUCAACAUUGGCUGCCCAUUGGAAUCACCCGGGGAUGCUACGUCAAACUCCAGUGUCCAGCCAUGGUUGAGACUCGCAGGUCUAGGGAUACUCAGCAACCCAGGUCAAGCCUCAGGAGGUCCAGGCUCCAUCCAUGCACUUGGGAAGGCCUUGGAAUCAUUGUGGAUAUGUUACAGUGAUUUUGAUUCUGCGAGUAUUUCUCGCUCGAUCUUAGGACUCCUGGUGGAAUCUCAAAUCAGGUUAUCCAUCUCUUACUUCAGGUCUAGGAAAGCUCUAGGUCCAUCCUUGAUCUCUGUGGAGGCCCCAGGUGGAGCUCUGGGCCCAUCUCUGCAGCCCUGCAGGGGCUUUAGAAGUGGUUCACCAAGUCUUGCCUCUUCUGUAGCAAAAUCGGGUGUGGCCCAUUGGUGGUUUCUUCCUCUGUUGCAUUUCUGGGGAGUCCCUGAAUGAGGCUGUGGUCUGUUCAUACAACCGCAGUUGGACCCCAGCGAUGGUUCUGUGAAUCCCUGGAUGCAUUAUGGGGCCUGGGUGUGGCUCUGAGUUGGCCCAUGCAGGCUAGUGAGGCUCACGAUAAGGGUCUUUCUACACAGCCCAUGGCACCUUCCAGGUGUGGUAGUGGACCUGGGCCUCCCGCCCAGGUGAAGCUCCACAUAGGACACUGGCCCUGCCUUCACAACCUGGUGAGUGCCCUGGUAGUGCUGAGGCUGUCUUUGCAAUACUGGGCUAAGCCAGGUUUGGAUGUAUCUCUGGACUAUAAGACUUCCCAUCAUUGACCCUCACAUCAACUGCCUAUCCUCACCCUAACCUGGCUCCAGUCCAGUUCAGGGAAGAGCCUCAGCCCAAUUUCCCCACAGGGGCCACUUGCCCUUAGAAGGAGCCAUGGGCUUAUCAGUUCCCCUUGAAGCAUGAGCAUGUACGGAAUCACCUAGGGUGCUCUUUAAAAUAAAUCCCAGCCAUACCCCUAGGGAUCCUGAUUCAGAAGGCAGCUAGUGCCUGGAGAUCUACAUUUUAGAAAGAAAGAAAAAAUAAAAAAGAAAGCUUCAGAGAAUGCAAAGGAGAGAGAGAGAGAAAUGGAAAGAACAGAGAGGAAAGGAAAUGAUCCCUUUCCAGGCUCAAAGAGCCAAGAGGUGGAGUUUU
rnacentral:lncRNA from 1 species